rnacentral:tRNA from 1 species
GGCGGGGUGGCCGAGCGGUCGAAGGCGGCGGCCUUGAAAGUCGCUGGGCGCGCAAGCGCCUCGUGGGUUCGAAUCCCACCCCCGCCG